CGGGGGGCAGCAGUAAGGAAUAUUGGACAAUGCCCGCAAGGGUGAUCCAGCCAUGCCGCGUGCAGGAAGAAGGCCCUAUGGGUCGUAAACUGCUUUUACACCGGAGAAAACCCCCCUACGUGUAGGUGGCUGAUAGUAUGGUGAGAAUAAGCAUCGGCUAACUUCGUGCCAGCAGCCGCGGUAAGACGAAGGAUGCAAGCGUUAUCCGGAUUCAUUGGGUUUAAAGGGAGCGUAGGUGGACUGAUAAGUCAGUGGUGAAAUCUCUUCGCUUAACGAAGAAAUUGCCAUUGAUACUGUUGGUCUUGAGUACAGUUGCUGUGGGCGGAAUAUGACAUGUAGUGGUGAAAUACAUAGAGAUGUCAUAGAACACCGAUUGCGAAGGCAGCUCACAAAGCUGUAACUGACACUGAGGCUCGAAAGUGCGGGGAUCAAACAGGAUUAGAUACCCCAGU
rnacentral:rRNA from 1 species